rnacentral:rRNA from 1 species
UACGUAGGGUGCAAGCGUUAGUCGGAAUUACUGGGCGUAAAGCGUGCGCAGGCGGUUGUGCAAGACCGAUGUGAAAGCCCCGGGCUUAACCUGGGAAUGGCAUUGGUGACUGCACGGCUAGAGUGUGUCAGAGGGGGGUAGAAUUCCACGUGUAGCAGUGAAAUGCGUAGAGAUGUGGAGGAAUACCGAUGGCGAAGGCAGCCCCCUGGGAUAACACUGACGCUCAUGCACGAAAGCGUGGGGAGCAAACAGG